GGGAGACCCAUAGUAGCCGGUAACAUGACCCAAAAUGCCAGUAUCUACCUAGACCGUAUUCUAAAACCUUUAGUAGUCCAACUACCCUCUUACUUGAGGGAUAUUAAACUUUAGCAGAUUUGAUACAUAUGGAUAUGCCAGACAAAUCUAUACUAUGCAGCCUUGAUGUAGAGGCACUUUAUAGCUCCAUUCCCAACACUUUAGGUUUG